GACGAACGCUGGCGGCGUGCUUAACACAUGCAAGUCGAACGGAAAGGCCCUGCUUUUGUGGGGUGCUCGAGUGGCGAACGGGUGAGUAACACGUGAGUAACCUGCCCUUGACUUUGGGAUAACUUCAGGAAACUGGGGCUAAUACCGGAUAGGAGCUCCUGCUGCAUGGUGGGGGUUGGAAAUUUUCGGCGGUUGGGGAUGGACUCGCGGCUUAUCAGCUUGUUGGUGGGGUAGUGGCUUACAAAGGCUUUGACGGGUAGCCGGCCUGAGAGGGUGACCGGCCACAUCGGGACUGAGGUACGGCGCGGUAUCCAAAGGGAGGCAGCGGUGGGGAAUGUUGCACAAUGGGCGGAAGCCUGAUGCAGCAACGCCGCGUGCGGGAUGACGGCCUUGGGGUUGUAAACCGCUUUCGCCUGUGACGAAGCGUGAGUGACGGUAAUGGGUAAAGAAGCACCGGCUAACUACGUG
rnacentral:rRNA from 1 species